CCCUUAGAUGUUCUGGGCCGCACGCGCGCUACACUGAUGAACGCAACGAGACGACCUGUACCGAAAGGCAUGGGUAAACUUGUGAAAGUUCAUCGUGAUGGGGAUAGAUUAUUGCAAUUAUUAAUCUUCAACGAGGAAUUCCUAGUAAGCGCGAGUCAUCAGCUCGCGUUGAUUACGUCCCUGCCCUUUGUACACACCGCCCGUCGCUCCUACCGAUUGAAUGGUCCGGUGAAUACUUCGGACCGGUUACUUGGUUGGUUCGCUAACCUUGUGACUGGAAAGUCGAGUGAACCUUAUUGCUUAGAGGAAGGAGAAGUCGUAACA
rnacentral:rRNA from 1 species